rnacentral:rRNA from 1 species
CUUUGGGGUGUGACUGCGUACCUUUUGUAUAAUGGGUCAGCGACUUAUAUUCUGUAGCAAGGUUAACCGUAUAGGGGAGCCGCAGGGAAACCGAGUCUUAACCGGGCGUUAAGUUGCAGGGUAUAGACCCGAAACCCGGUGAUCUAGCCAUGGGCAGGUUGAAGGUUGGGUAACACUAACUGGAGGACCGAACCGACUAAUGUUGAAAAAUUAGCGGAUGACCUGUGGCUGGGGGUGAAAGGCCAAUCAAACCGGGAGAUAGCUGGUUCUCCCCGAAAGCUAUUUAGGUAGCGCCUCGUGAACUCAUCUCCGGGGGUAGAGCACUGUUUCGGCUAGGGGGCCAUCCCGGCUUACCAACCCGAUGCAAACUGCGAAUACCGGAGAAUGUUAUCACGGGAGACACACGGCGGGUGCUAACGUCCGUCGUGAAGAGGGAAACAACCCAGACCGCCAGCUAAGGUCCCAAAGUCAUGGUUAAGUGGGAAACGAUGUGGGAAGGCCCAGACAGCCAGGAUGUUGGCUUAGAAGCAGCCAUCAUUUAAAGAAAGCGUAAUAGCUCACUGGUCGAGUCGGCCUGCGCGGAAGAUGUAACGGGGCUAAACCAUGCACCGAAGCUGCGGCAGCGACGCUGAUGCGUUGUUGGGUAGGGGAGCGUUCUGUAAGCCUGCGAAGGUGGCCUGUGAGGGUUGCUGGAGGUAUCAGAAGUGCGAAUGCUGACAUAAGUAACGAUAAAGCGGGUGAAAAGCCCGCUCGCCGGAAGACCAAGGGUUCCUGUCCAACGUUAAUCGGGGCAGGGUGAGUCGACCCCUAAGGCGAGGCCGAAAGGCGUAGUCGAUGGGAAACGGGUUAAUAUUCCCGUACUUGGUGUUACUGCGAAGGGGGGACGGAGAAGGCUAUGUUGGCCGGGCGACGGUUGUCCCGGUUUAAGCGUGUAGGUGUGUGUUCCAGGUAAAUCCGGUU